UUCUUUCUCCUCGGUUCUUGUUGCCUCUAGCAAAAACACUACUUCACCCUAGCAAACUAUUAAAAAAAGCAAAAUCCAUGCUACUUGCUUGGCCUACUCCAUCAACGCAUGAAUGUGCCUGCAAAAUGUCAGAAAAGACUUUUCUAGUGCUCUCACAUCACUCUAGUGAAUUACCCUAGUGACAGUUUUUUCACGCUAUCUUGUUUACUGUCUUUUUUUACUUCAGUUUGGAGGAAAUGUGCUGCUUUUCACAUGCUCAGUGGCUGAGGUGUCCUUAGUAUCAAUUAACUGCAGACCCACAGCGUUGUUGUGAGAAUAUGAAAGUUAGGACUGACUCCUAUUUCUUGAGAAACAAGGGGUGGCUUUUUGAAGAGGUAAUCAGCCUGACUACCUGCAGCUGCCCUGCCUUGGAAUUCUUAAUCAGUUGUGUGUGUGCAAGAAAAGGCUGAGGGUGGUACAGGUCUAACUCACUUCAUGGGGGUCCUCCAGAAUGCAAAUCCACCAGCACUAGAGAUUUAAAGUGAUAUGCCCAGUUAAACAGAGCAACUGAAAAAAGGGCAGUGUGCUCUUUAAGAUAUGUGUUCUUGUCUAAUCUGCUGUUAUUGUAUCGGAAGUCUCUUUUAGAAGUAUUUGCUUAAUGGAUAAACAGGAUAAAAUCUGCAAAUAAGGACUAGGCUUUUGUCCUGUCAUCUCAAAGCAUUAUUUCCCUGUUUGUCCCCAUGAAAUUUGCUCAAACAGUAUCCAUUGGCAGCUCAGGUACGUUUCCCUUGUCAACUCUCUUCUGGAUUAUUUCCAGAACCUGCACAAGAGAUUUUGAAAAUUAGCAGCGUUAACAGCUGGCUUGUCGUGGGCAGUCCCAAGGAAGUCGAGGUCACUGGUUGUCAGUCAGCUGUUCAGGAGUCGUACCGAAAUAGCAACACAGCUCCACCGUCAGCUCUUCAUUAUCUGGGACAAAGACUGGAACACAAGAGAAGAGUUUGGAAAAAUCCAGCUAAGAAUCCAGUGUUCCAUAAAGGCAGUGCCAGUGUUCCAUAAAGGCAGUGAGGAAAAGCCAUGCUCAGCAUCUGAGGGGCAGGUAUGCAAAGUUGAGAGUCGGAACUGGAUGAUCUUUAAGGUCCCAAGCCAUUCUAUAAUUCAGUACCUUGCAUUGUGUAGUACCUGCUGGAGCUACAGAGAUGAAAAGGACACAAUGAACUGCACCUGUCACUCACUAUACAUGUAUGAAGCUAGGUUAUGUAUUUUCAUCAAGAGUUUCUUGUUCUGCUACACUGAACAAACUGUCUUUUACUUAAAGUUGUUUGGGUGUUGUUUUCUUUUUGAGAGUAACGUGGGGUAGGUGGCUAACAAAAAGCGUGUGUUGACAAGGUCUAACACCAUGGAAUGGUGCGUGUCAACAGAACUUUCAAGCAAAUUGCAUUAAUAUCUAUGUGAAGUAGUUGACAUGAAACUGAAGGCGUCUUCUAAAAUCUUACUGAAGUUGCAGUGAUAGAAAUAUGCUCAUUAUACAGGCCACUUUCCAGAUGCCUAUUAAAAACUCCUGUAUUAACUCUGGCUCAGUGUGUAUGUGGCUUCUCUCUUCUUGUGCUUGACAACCAACACUUGCAUCAGUAUAUAUAUAUAUAUAUCAGUGCACACCCAGCU